rnacentral:rRNA from 1 species
UACGGGGGGUGCGAGCGUUGUCCGGAAUCACUGGGCGUAAAGGGCGCGUAGGUGGUGUCGUAAGUUUGUGGUGAAAGCCCGGGGCUCAACCCCGGGUCUGCCGCGAAUACUGCGAGACUUGAGUGCUGUAGAGGGGGGUAGAAUGCCGGGUGUAGCGGUGGAAUGCGUGGAGAUCCGGCAGAAGACCGGUGGCGAAGGCGGCCCCCUGGGCAGUAACUGACACUGAGGCGCGACAGCGUGGGGAGCAAACAGG